rnacentral:rRNA from 1 species
GGGGAAUCUUAGACAAUGGGGGCAACCCUGAUCUAGCCAUGCCGCGUGAGUGAAGAAGGCCCUAGGGUUGUAAAGCUCUUUCAGCUGGGAAGAUAAUGACGGUACCAGCAGAAGAAGCCCCGGCUAACUCCGUGCCAGCAGCCGCGGUAAUACGGAGGGGGCUAGCGUUGUUCGGAAUUACUGGGCGUAAAGCGCACGUAGGCGGACCAGCAAGUUAGGGGUGAAAUCCCGGGGCUCAACCCCGGAACUGCCUUUAAAACUGUUGGUCUUGAGUUCGAGAGAGGUGAGUGGAAUUCCGAGUGUAGAGGUGAAAUUCGUAGAUAUUCGGAGGAACACCAGUGGCGAAGGCGGCUCACUGGCUCGAUACUGACGCUGAGGUGCGAAAGCGUGGGGAGCAAAC